rnacentral:rRNA from 1 species
UACGUAGGGUGCGAGCGUUAAUCGGAAUUACUGGGCGUAAAGCGUGCGCAGGCGGUGAUGUAAGACCGAUGUGAAAUCCCCGGGCUCAACCUGGGAACUGCAUCUGUGACUGCAUCGCUGGAGUGCGGCAGAGGGGGAUGGAAUUCCGCGUGUAGCAGUGAAAUGCGUAGAUAUGCGGAGGAACACCGAUGGCGAAGGCAAUCCCCUGGGCCUGCACUGACGCUCAUGCACGAAAGCGUGGGGAGCAAACAGG